AUUGAACGCUGGCGGCAGGCCUAACACAUGCAAGUCGAACGAGUGGCGGACGGGUGAGUAAUGUCCGGGAAACUGCCCGAUGGAGGGGGAUAACUACUGGAAACGGUAGCUAAUACCGCAUACCAUCGGAUGUGCCCAGAUGGGAUUAGCUUGUAGGUGAGGUAACGGCUCACCUAGGCGACGAUCCCUAGCUGGUCGGAGAGGUUGACCAGCACAACUGGAACUGAGCACCGGUCAAGACUCCUACGGGGUGCAGCAGUGGGUAAGAUUGCACAAUGGGCGCAAGCCUGAUGCAGCCAUGCCGGGUGGAUGAAGAAGGCCUUCGGUUUGUAAAGUACUUUCAGCGGGGAGGCGUUACCCGCAGAAGAAGCACCGGCUAACUCCGUGCCAGCAGCCGCGGUAAUAC
rnacentral:rRNA from 1 species